AAAGAGCGCGUAGGCGGGUCUUUAAGUGAGGGGUGAAAGGUUUGGGCUCAACCCAGACACUGCCUUUCAUACUGGAGACCUUGAGUACAGGAGAGGCGAGUGGAAUGGUCGGUGUAGCGGUGAAAUGCGUAGAUAUCGAUCGGAACACCCAUGGCGAAGGCAGCUCGCUGGUCUGUAACUGACGCUGAGGCGCGAAAGCGUGGGGAGCAAACAGGAUUAGAUACCCCAGU
rnacentral:rRNA from 1 species